UACGGGGGGGGCAAGCGUUGUUCGGAAUUACUGGGCGUAAAGGGCGCGUAGGCGGCCUGCUAAGUUGGAUGUGAAAACUCUGGGCUCAACCCAGAGCCUGCAUUCAAUACUGACGGGCUAGAGUACUGGAGGGGAAAGCGGAAUUCCUGGUGUAGCGGUGAAAUGCGUAGAUAUCAGGAGGAACACCGGUGGCGAAGGCGGCUUUCUGGACAGUAACUGACGCUGAGGCGCGAAAGCUAGGGGAGCAAACAGG
rnacentral:rRNA from 1 species